AUUGAACGCUGGCAGCAGGCCUAACACAUGCAAGUCGAGCGGAUGAAGGGAGCUUGCUCCUGGAUUCAGCGGCGGACGGGUGAGUAAUGCCUAGGAAUCUGCCUGGUAGUGGGGGAUAACGUCCGGAAACGGGCGCUAAUACCGCAUACGUCCUGAGGGAGAAAGUGGGGGAUCUUCGGACCUCACGCUAUCAGAUGAGCCUAGGUCGGAUUAGCUAGUUGGUGGGGUAAAGGCCUACCAAGGCGACGAUCCGUAACUGGUCUGAGAGGAUGAUCAGUCACACUGGAACUGAGACACGGUCCAGACUCCUACGGGAGGCAGAAGUGGGGAAUAUUGGACAAUGGGCGAAAGCCUGAUCCAGCCAUGCCGCGUGUGUGAAGAAGGUCUUCGGAUUGUAAAGCACUUUAAGUUGGGAGGAAGGGCAGUAAGUUAAUACCUUGCUGUUUUGACGUUACCAACAGAAUAAGCACCGGCUAACUUCGUG
rnacentral:rRNA from 1 species